CGGGUGAGUAGCACGUGGAUAACCUACCUAUAAGACUGGGAUAACUUCGGGAAACCGGAGCUAAUACCGGAUAAUAUAUUGAACCGCAUGGUUCAAUAGUGAAAGACGGUUUUGCUGUCGCUUAUAGAUGGAUCCGCGCCGCAUUAGCUAGUUGGUAAGGUAACGGCUUACCAAGGCAACGAUGCGUAGCCGACCUGAGAGGGUGAUCGGCCACACUGGAACUGAGACACGGUCCAGACUCCUACGGGAGGCAGCAGUG
rnacentral:rRNA from 1 species